GAUGAAGAACGUAGUGAAAUGCGAUAAGUAAUGUGAAUUGCAGAAUUCAGUGAAUCAUCGAAUCUUUGAACGCACAUUGCGCCCCCUGGUAUUCCGGGGGGCAUGCCUGUCCGAGCGUCAUUACAACCCUCAAGCUCAGCUUGGUGUUGGGCCCCGCCGCCCCGGCGGGCCCUAAAGUCAGUGGCGGUGCCGUCCGGCUCCGAGCGUAGUAAUUCUUCUCGCUCUGGAGGUCCGGUCGUGUGCUCGCCAGCAACCCCCAAUUUUUUUCAGGUUGACCUCGGAUCAGGUAGGGAUACCCGCUGAACUUAAGCAUAUCAAUAAGCGGACGA
rnacentral:misc_RNA from 1 species